AAAAGCAGGUUCUGAUGUGGACACACACUACGCAGCACCAGGCUGAUCCCAUAAAGUGAUGUCAACAGGAAGAGGAGGAGCAUCAGCAGGAAGCUGCGAUGAUUGGCCUGCCCCACACAACUGUUUAUCCUGGACGGUGAGCAUUCCCAGGGCACGUGAGGGAGGAGCUGUGUAGUUGGAGCGAAGUGGGAAGAUCUGCCUGCUGGACAACUAGCUGUUAAUGUGCAGGCGGGUGGAUGCAGCUAAACCAAUGGAGGCAGAGGCCACACCCUAAAGGAUGGCGCCGGUGAGUCAGAAGGGACCUGGCCUGGCGGGGGCUAAGCUACUCACCACCUCAUCACUUUGGGGGGUUUCGUUAAGCUUAACGCCAUAGACCAUAAAUGACAGCUUGAUAUUUUAGCUUAUCUGUCAAGUGAAUAUGUAAAUGUGUUUUUUUACUCAUAUUAUUAUCCAUCCAUCCAUUUUCAAAACCGCUUACACAACUGGGUCGCGGGGGGUCUGGGUCUCGGAAACAAUGGGCACGAGGCAGGGAAAAACCCAGGAUGGGGGGCCAGCCCAUCGCAGGGCACACUCACACACCACUCACUCACACAUGCACACCUACGGGCAAUUUAGCAAGCUCAUAUUAAUAUGGACUGAGUAUAACCUGACAACAGUAAACUUGAAAAUUGACUUCUGUUGUAUUUAUUGUUUGUCAGGUCGUGGAUAUUCUUGGAUAAUGUUUUUGUUGUAUUUGGCUAUAUUGCAUAAUCUAUAUUGCAUUUGUCUGUUAUGUUGCAUUACUUCUAUGCAUGGUUAUUCUCCAAAAUUCUUGUCCUGCACGAAAGCAAAACCACCUUCUAUGGACAUGAAAUUAUUGCAAGCUUUGAUUUCUUAGUUAUAAAUGUAUUAAUUAUGCAGUUCAUACAACCUUCAGCUUCCAGGAAAUCCUAAAGGAGAAGCAUCGAUGCAAAGAUGAGUACAGCACUCAGUUUAGAUUUUUUAGCAGAAACCCAGAGAGCUAGACAACAGCGCAAUCACUAACCGACUGAACUAAUCAGCUCCUUGGCUGAACAUUAACUGACCAAAAAACUAUAAAACAGACACAAGCUCGAACUUCAGCUCUAACCAGUUUAGCUAUCCAUCUCUCUAGCUUGCCUAAUACGUCCUGGAAGAUUAAUGCCUGCAAUGAAAAGAGCUGAUGAAGCAAGUCUGACUGCUCUGCUCUAGUUGCAGGUGUGCCGUCAGGUGUGUUCGUGACGUUUCAUUGACAUUUUUCCGGGGCAAUUUCCAGGAAUCUGUGCAGAUUCUUCCUUUCAGGGCAGUGGGAGCAGCCAGGGCUAUGAUAUCUGGGCUAAAAGGGCCGGUCUGUCUCUAGGCUUUUGGACAGAUGGUCCUCUCCAGGGCACCAGGUUACAGGCUACUUCCACCUUAUGAGACAGAUGGUCCUUUGUGGGAUGUCAGGUCCUACUCUUGGUCAUGUGAUGUGUAACCAUGGAGAUAAAUUGCCCCAGAAUAUUUUUUGGCUUAAUUGAAAAAAAAUUGGAAAGAAAGAAUCUUUCGCAUGUCACUGCACUGCAAAUUUAAAUACAGUUUAGUUUAUACUCCAUAAAUUUGCAUGAACGUGGGGAUGUAUAUAUGUGCUUGAACAUACAGAAUGCAUCAUAGAAUUUUGGUAAUGAUGCAAUAAUACAUAUAAUAAUAUAUAGCCUGUAACACUUGUUACUGUGGUCCACGUGCCAGUCAUUCAGAUGGGAGUGAAAGGUAUAUAACAUUAUCACUGAGCAGAGGUGCUUACCCAAUCUGAGCAGAGGCGCUUACUCAAUCUGAGCAGAGGCGCUUACUAGAGGUGAAAAUAUCUGGUCCAGAGAGUACAAAUCCAGACCAAGAUUUUGUUUCAACUAACCAGUUGAAUAAUCUGUAACUAUGACUCUUUAUGCUCAACUGGUUGGUCGAAUGUAAAUAAUGGUCUGGAUUUUUACUUUCUGGACCUGACAUUGCCACCUCCGAUGCUUACCCAAUCUGAGCAGAGGCGCUUACCCAAUCUGAGCAGAGGCAGCACCACAACUCAAGCAAAUCGCUUAUGACUUUAUUCUGACACUGGAAAUCUGUGUGCAGCUGUGAAAUCACUUGAAAAGUUGUUUGGUGUAAUGCCAGUAUAAAUGAAGCUACUUUUCCAGUUUUUCUUGGGAUGCAAGCGGCAGUUUCCUGCGUCUGUAGCCACAGUUUGCGCUAUCCGCGUGUUAGCAUGCAGGGAGGGUGUUGUUUCAGAAUUAGGGAAAGGGUUGAUUGGAUCAUAGAGGGCCAGUCUGGUCAAAGGAGACCUCUGUGAUUGUAUUCUGCUGAUGUCAUAGCUUGAACGUGCUGCGUGACCCCAAGCCUUCCAAAAGAUUAUGCUGGGCUGCAGGAGUCUGCAGGCACACCUGUGGUUCUGGCUGGACUUCUGGUACAUGUGGUCUUAGGACUGGCCACAGGAAUUUGUAUCUCUGGCAGCUGCGAUUUUUAAAAUCUUUGUCAUCUCUAGGUAAAGCUGGUGAUACCUGAUGAAACUGCCUGUUUUGGAUAUACAGAAUCUCACCGUUGACUUGACUGCGGCGUAUUGCUUGUGAUGAAAUGUGAGCCUGUGUGUUUUAUACUUUUGUAAAUACAAGGCAGCUUUAAUAUAAACUGGUAACCAAACCUAGAUCAAUAGGAUGACAUGUUUCAUGUUAUACUGAAAGUUUAUUAUCAGCACACGAAAACACAAGGAAAUGUUUAAGGAUGAUGCCCUUCUGCAUAUUUGCAAUAUAUGAUUUUUUUCUCUUAAGUUGAAAUUAUCUAAAUAUAAAGCUAUAUAAUAAUUUGAAUACAGAGGCCGUAAUACUGACUGUGUUGAAUCCACUAAAAGCCACAUAUAGAGAUAAAGGUGUCUCUCAAUAAUCCUCUAAGAACCAAAUGCAGCACCACACAAAUUUCUCACAUUAUACUUCAGUUGUGUUAUAAUACCCAGAAUACAGCCUCCAUGAUUUUGUAUCUACCAGACCUUAGUGGAAUACAUGAAUGCCCUUGGCUGUGCCCGAAUUCAGGGCAAUUCAUCCUUCUAAGGUUGCAUUUGAAGACUGAAUAUGCCACAGAGGUGAAACUAUGCUGUCCCAUUUCAAAGGCUUCCUCAAAUGUGGUCUAAAAACGCGUCCUCCUUUUGCCAAGGCAAGAAGGAUCCACCUAGUGGAUGCGUCACGGCCCAACACAUCCCAAGAUUCACUGCGCAGAAGUAAAGCGACUGUGUCCCAGCUGGAUGAUAGAACGCUCGAGGGUAAAGGUGGGAGCAUGUAUGCUACACAGUCAAUUUUCAUGCACCUUACCCUAAUCUUGAGGAACUGAAAUAUAGCUUUCAAAAGAAAGUCAACAUGAACUACAACUACAGCAAUAUGGACAGUGUUUAAUGUCUAGAAUGGCACACGCCUUUCACUGAGAACCACACCCUGGCUGUUUGAAUACUCUCCAAAAAAUGUUUACUUAGUGUUGUAUUAAAAGCAGUAACAUGCAGCUGAGCGCAGGUUAUUACAGCAAAGCCUUUAACACAGGCUUUGUGAGCAGCUGGAAGGUUGCAAAAAGUUAAGAGCGCCCUCUGCUGGAUGAGUCCAGCAGUACCAACACUGUAUCUUCUCUCAGGGUAGCCCAGGGAUGGUCCAUCUUGUUUAUGGAAGGUAGACAAAAACACACGUAAACAAAAAAAACACACUAACACUGCCACGAGUAGCCUUCUCCAUAUAGCCCCUUAAAAACCCCAUGACAUUAAACAUGGAAUAUAGCAGGAAUGUUUUCUCGGUUUUUGGGAAUAUCCACCAUGCUGAACGAUAUCUGAGGAUCAGCACGUGAUACGCAAACAGCGAUGCAACAGCUGAUCACCAUGGGAAAGGCUCCGUGCCGCUCAGCGUGCGAUGGGCAAUCAAUGUGAGACAGGCGUCGUGCCGAUCAACAUAUGACAGGCGUAGUGCUGAUCAGCGGUUAGUGGGCAAUCAGCACAAAGGCCAGUGUGCAGGGGGCGGGGCAGCUUCACUGCAGAGGCCUAGCUACGCUAUGAGCUUGUCUGUCCGCGGCAGUGGACAGCUGUCAAACUUGGCCACUUUGUCCAACCGUCGGAAGUCAUUGCGGAACUGCAGAGACCCGUCAAGUUUUGGAAGCAUCACUAUUGGGCCGGACCAGGGGCUCUGAGACUGUCCAAUCAGCCCAAGCUGGCACAUGUUAUAUAUUCCAGCUACUAACGCUGCUCUUUGGGCUUCUGGGAUGUGGUAGGGCUGCUGUCUAACCAGUGUACCAGGUGGAGUUUCAAUAUGGUGUCAGAAUGUAAAAGUGAGAUCCAGCACGGGCGAGAAUACGUCACUGUAUUGCACUGCAAGUUUCACUCACCUGGCUCUUUUCUUCCUCAAACGCAUUGUCACUCGCGGUUUAAGCGACGUUCCUGCAGACCACCAGGGAAUUACGGGCAGCAGACUGUCAGCCAGCCAGCGACAGUUGUAACAACGGCGGUCUGUGACCAUGGAAACCCUGGAGGCAGUGGCUAGUGGGGGUCUGAAAGUCCACUCUGUGGUGACCAAGCUACUUCUCCCCAAGAAGACUGAAAUAGGCAGGCUAGCGUUUUGCUGAGGAGCAUGCCAUGUGGACAGAGGGGACCUGGUAAAAAAAGUUAAUCUCGGUAAUGAAAGCAAGCUUAAUUUUGUUGGUUCAGAUGGGAAACAUUAUUUAUGGCAUUGAAUUGGAUCCUUCCCCUACAAGCAUCGCCCAGUCAGGGGACAAUGCCCCUUAUUACACGGCCAAAGGGGUGAAGCAAUUCCUCAAAGCCAAGGAUAUCAAGGUGGUGAAAUGGUCAGCCCAGAGUCCUGAUCUGAAUCACAUCAAGAAUCUCUGGAAGAAACUGCUCUUGUUCUCUAAUUCUGAUCACCACUGGAUAAGGGCAGCGUGAAUCCCACCAGCCAUGAGAUUUAAAGCAGCAGCCUACGAACUUCAGGCACCCAGCGUUAACCUGUGGAGCCACACAGAGCUGCUUCUCCAGUGGAGGGCCAUGGAGCUGAGCAGCAGGGAAACAUCCAGGCAGUGGCUUAUUUGAGAGACUGCAAAUCACACCUCUGUGGCUUAUGGCAAACUUGGGGCCGAAGGUCAGGUGACCUGAUCUCUGCAUGUUGAUCAUAUAUGCAGUACUUAUAUAAAAUUAUGUUUGGUUUUCUUUCUUUAGUAAUUGCACUAAAUUAAAUUUCUCUUUGCUGCCA